rnacentral:rRNA from 1 species
CCUACGGGAGGCAGCAGUGGGGAAUAUUGGGCAAUGGGCGCAAGCCUGACCCAGCAACGCCGCGUGAAGGAAGAAGGCCCUCGGGUUGUAAACUUCUUUUUUCAGGGACGAAGAAAGUGACGGUACCUGACUACUAAGCCACGGCUAACUACGUGCCGGCAGCCGCGGUCAUACGUAGGUGGCAAGCGUUAUCCGGAUUUACUGGGUGUAAAGGGCGUGUAGGCGGGACUGCAAGUCAGAUGUGAAAUUCCAGGGCUCAACCCUGGAACUGCAUUUGAAACUGUAGGUCUUGAGUGAGGGGGAGGCAGACGGAAUCCGGGGUGUAGCGGUGAAAUGCGUAGAUA